GAAUCAGAGUAGCUCCAUGCAGCCUCCCACUUUUAAUCUUUUUGAAGAAUGUGAACAGUACCAUUCACUGGUAAAAAAUGUAACCAAGAGAGUUCUGCAGUGUUGUUGAUUUCUGCUGGAUAUUCAUAGUAGGAAUUAUACUUGUAAAUGUUGUAUGCAUGUGAAAAGUCUUCAUUUGAAAGUUUGCUAAGCAACAAAUCCUUCAAAUGGAACAGGUUGCAACUCUGCUCUGCCUAUAAAGUACAGAUGCAUGGCCUGUCUCUGACUGGAUGCAUGCCAGAUUGUCCUUUGGGAUAUAGCCCAGUGAGCAGGAGAAAUGGGUUUGAACUUGGCAAAAUGGCAUUAGGCAUAAAGGAAGAAACUGGAGAGCUGCUUCAUCAGUGUCAAUCCAGACUGUGGUUGGUCUCAUAAAAAGGAUCUUAUUGAUGAAUUAGUACAGCUACCCUCUCAGCCAUGGAAGAAUACCUCAUACAAAAAAAUCCAUAGGUGACUAAUAGGUGUGGUAAGCAGCCUGUGAGAUUUGGGAGAAACAUUCUGGCAAACCUGGAAAUCAACCUAGAUCUAAAUUACCUGCUAUUGUGGAUAUUUUAGUCUUAAUUCAUGCUUUUCCACCACAUUUCAGAAGGUAUCCUUUAUCUGAACAGCUUUGCUUUCUUGUUUGUUUGUUUUUUAGGUUUGUCAGUCAUUACACAGUGCUAUUUAGAAUCAAUUUAGCACCCUUCCAUGUGCUGAGUGGUUGUGGUGAGUGAUGAUUGAUGAGUGAUGAUUACUAGCAGGAUUAACCUGCUAGUAAUUAAAUGUUGCUGCCUCUUAGCUUGAAAAUGAAACAUCUCUAUGGAAUUUAAGAGUUUCUUGCUUUAUCUAGGUUGGGCACGUCUAAAUAGUACAGGUAGGUUUACCGAGUUAGUGUAGGUAUAGUGCAAUCAUAAAACAAUAAGUUUAAAAAGCAAAAUGAAGAAGGGGGAAGAGUGGAGAGAGAGGAAGAAGAGAAGAAGAUAUUGAGAGAAGGGAAACAAAUUCAACCGAUCAUUAAAACUUUGAAUUGCAUGGGAAAUUUUCUGCACUUUGCUGAAUCUUGGGUAUAAUUUCCUAAUUUUGGCUUUGUGCUAUCCGGAUAAAUAUUUCCUGUCUGGACUCAUUUCUACUCACAGAUGGGUCUUCAAAAUUUUUAAGUGUUAAGUUGCAUAAAAGAGGAUGUGCUGCCUGUUUGUUGAAGCCUAGAGGGGUACCUGUCUCAGUAAAGCAGAGGCUGAGUUCUUUAUCAUUUGUGGACCCACUGAAUGCUUGAUUUUCAUAUUGGCUUUACCACUAUGAAGAGUUUUACCUCUUGAAUUCACUGAUUCCUAAGCAGAAUUCCUAAGCAGAAUGAAGCCCUUUUUUAUUUUUCUCAAAAUCUGCUAUCAAAAAUCACAUUAUUUCAGCAUUCAAAGAGAGUUCUUUGCUUCUUCAAAGACUUAUUAGACUGAUCUGUCCCAUGCUCCUCACAGGACUGUGGCAGUGUAACCUCAUAUGAUACCAAUGCUGAGCUUCUGUUUGAAAUAAUAGGGAUGAUGCCUUAUCCUGCACAGACAUCAGAGGGAUUUUAAAUAAAGGUUGUCACUGAGAAGCCUGUAAGCUGCCCUCACUUAGUUCUGUCUGGCCUGUGUUAGGCAGAAGACGAAGGCAUUUGAAUGUCUUAAUUGAAGCAGAGGGUGAGCUUUUUACCUUUAGCUCUUGUUGCAUUUAAGGAUUCAUGCUGAAUAACAAUAAUAAAAGAUUAAUCCCAUCUGGUUCUCUGUUGACUGUUAGUUUAAUUUAGUGUAUGACAACUCAAAGUUUAGUCUGCCAGCCAACGAAGGUAUGCAGUUAUCAACAUUACUGAUAGGAUAAAACAAUUAUGUAAGCUUAUUUUCAAAUCUCCCCAAAUCCCAUAAUACUUAACCAAGUAAAACCCUUGAGCUAAAAUGUACCUGUUUACAGAAAGCUACAACAUCAAAUACAGGUUUCACUCAGAACUUUGGGUAGACUAAUUGGCCUUGUUGGCUCCUUUUUUUUUUCUCUGUUGCCAUUUUUAGGUAUGAAAUAUAUCAAACUGAAAAGAAAAUAUGGACAAGAAAAACACAGUUGUAAGAAAGAAUUUUGAGAGUUUUCAGAAAGACUUCUUUGCUUGCAAGGCUGUGGAGGCCCAAGCCCUGAACUAUUUGGCUGACAGUUGCCCUAAAAACACAAGUGUGCUCGCAGCAACAUUGAAGCAAACUAGGCUUGAAGAAAGGAACCGGAACAAAGUCCUAGAUCUCCUUCUAGGAGUUUUCCAAAAGAGAUUUAGCUUACCACGACUGGACAUCUGCUCCCAGAGCAUCCUGCUAUAUAACUGUGCUGAAAGGACUCCAACGAAGGAGGAAUGAUGAGGAGAACUCUACUGAUAUCAGAAGGUUAAUUAAUUACUUUAUUAUACUAUAUUAUUUUGUACAUCUAACACUGAAUUUGCUAAGCACUCAACCCUACACACAACAGUACUCAUUUCGUGACUGUCCACUGACAGUCUCCACACACACACACACUUGGCCCUGAUAGGCCAAGGAAACAAAACACCAUGACUUUGGUAAACAAUCUCCAUAUUGCAUUUUACUCUUGCACAAACACUGGCACAGCAAGUUAUAAGAAUUGUUUUUCUUUUCUCUGAGGUUCAGAGAAUGUGAAUUUCAGAAAUAUUCUCUGUGAAGAGAAAUGUGGGGCUACACUGCUGUCACUUCACAUCCAAGUACUCUUGACACUCCACUCUGCCAGUACCUCUUGUCUCCUGCCUGUGACUGGGACCACUGUGAAACCUUGGGCUCCAUUCCCCUCACUGUAGGAGAUGAAAGCACAGGCCAGAUGUCCAGCCAAAGUGAGAGAAAACACUGGUAGCUGACAAGUCUUGCAGAGGAAUGAUGCACACGGGAGGACUGUGAGCGAGGUGAGAGAGACGCUGCUAUCGAUAAGCUGGAAUCAGUGUUUGUUCCCCAGCACUCCCAGGGCCCAAACAGCCAGCUGCAAUGGCAGAAUUCAGCCCUGAAGGUACAUGAAGAAUGUCCCCCGAACUGGCAUCUGGUACUGCUCCCUGCAUUCGAUCCUGUUAGCGGGAAACAAGCCAGGCCCCUCUGACCUCCCAGUGGUUGGUGGUGUUCAGGACAAACCACAAAUAACCCCUGAAGGCAGGAGGAGGGACAGGACAGAAUGUGGUAGAGGAUCAUAAAUCAUCACUGCCAUCCCAGAUAGAAACCAGGCAGGGGUCCUGAGCCUGCUCAUCCGGUCAGACAGGUACACGUGCAGACACUGGGCUGCAGACGCGGACACAACAGCAGCAGGUGACAUCAGCCCACCACAUGGGAAGCAGAAAGCCCUCCCUGCACCUCCUGCAGAGCUGGAGGAGACCCACUUCUUCCCUCUGCCCUUACAGCCUGCAGCCAUGGGCUGCUACGGCUGCCACCCUGCCCAGACAGUCACAUGGAUUAAAUACACUUUUAAACAUGGAAGCUGUAUUUCUCUGAAAUUAAACAGCUUCCCACACUCUUAUUAACCUGUGCCCUACUUCAGAAAUAAAUCUAAUUUGGAAUUUCA